UUAAAUUUUUAUGCAUUGCGUGAAUUAGUAUGUACAAUUUAUGUAAAUUGUUAGAGAUAUUGAUAUGCUGUGUGAAUCAGUGUGUAUAAAUUGUGUAAUGAAUUUACAUAUUUAUACAUUGUGUGAAUUAGUAUGUAUACGGCAUGGAGUAAUGAUGGUAUUCUGUGUGAAUCAGUGUGUACAUGUUGUGUAAUGAAUAGAAAUAUUCAUAAACUGUGAAUCAAUAUGUAUAAGUCAUGUAAGUCGUUAGAAAUAAUGCAAACUCUGUGGACCAGUGUGUACAAGUUAUGUAAAUCGUUUAAAAUAUUGCUAAACAGUGUGAAACAGUGUGUACAAGUUUUGUAAUGAAUAUUGAUACACUGUAUGAAUUAGUAUGAAUAAGGAAUGUAAUUAAUAAGAUGUGUUGAUACACUGUGUGAAACCGUUGUAUAAGUCGUGUAAUUGAUAAGAUAUUUUGAUUAAUAAACAAUGUUCAUUUUGAUUCAAUACUUGAUAUUGUGAAAUAUGUUAAUUUAUUUUAUGUAACUAAAUGUUAUUUAUUUGUAUUCCAUUAUAUUGCCGAUACAUUAUCACAUAAGCAACACGACGGGUGCCGCAUGUGGAGCAGGAUCUGCUUACCCUUCCGGUACCUUACACUACAGGAAGAUAACUCUGAAAAAUCAGGUAAACGUUUUAAUUACAUUGUGUUGGAAUAUUAAGCUUCUCAAUGAUCAAAAUAAGUGUUUGUCAAACUACUAUUUAACCAUUGUAAUUUUUUAUAUAAAAUGGUUGGUUCAAUUUUUUGGAAAUUUUUUAUAUUUUAGUCAAAGGGUCAAAGUAAAAACUUCAAAUGUCAAAAUUUUAUGAAAAUUAGACGAGCCAAAUUAAUUUUAGUGAAGGUGAUGGGUACCACCUUCAGGCUAAGGGUACCAUGAACUGCAUCUGAAUAUCAAAAUUUGAUGGAUGUUGCUUUUACACUUUCAUGGUCAGUGUCAAUUACAAAAUAAAUUUUGUGGAAUAGGAUUAAUAUAAAAAGCAUCAGGAAAUAUGACUUAUUUUUUUACAUUUUAAAUUUCGAUUUCAUCAAAAUCAGAAACAUCGCC
rnacentral:lncRNA from 1 species